AUCACUACCAUGACCAACACUUGGUCUCAAACUGUGAUCUUUCCGGCGAUCACAACCAUGACCAACACUUGGUCUCCAACAUCAUCAUCAACAUCCUGCCAAACUGUUACUGCUCACAAUAUAUCAUCAUAUAAAUCACCUAUAAGUCAUUCCGUCAUGUGAGUGUUGAUCAAACGGUGGGACCUAGUACGAACCCAUGCCCAUGACCGAGGACACGACUAUCGAUAGAUUAAUACACUCUACAGAGGUAGCACAUUGUACCCACACCACAGAACCCAUGGCCUCGUACUCCCAUACGGGUGGACCAACGGCGUUCCGACACAACCGAUCUACUGCCAUGACACUCUCCCGGCCACUCCGACCAACAUCCCUUCUGGGUUUAGUCCUGGGUGGCCGCGUGUCUACCAAAGACACACCGACCACCGUCGUGGCCAAAACGUCCCUCACGGGGACCGGAUCCAUAACAACAACAACAGGCACAUAAGUUUAUGUCUGCUUACCGGGCCAGGGUACGCACGCCCAUAACCUUCCCUCGUUGGAGGCACCGGCGAGAGACAUGACAAUAGACCGCAUUAGGGCCUUCCCAUAAAGGCAAAUGUGGUUGCACUGGAAAAAGCCCGGUUCGGUGGCACCUGACCAACUUAAUGACGGAAUUUAACCCCAAAAUAUAAUAGUAAUGAUUGAUAUUCCGAUAUCAUCUAUCAACCUAUAAUCCAAGUCAUAGCAAUAUCCAACAAAUAAUCCAAGCAUAAUCUCAUCAUCACAAAAUACUCCAAGGGUAGCACAACACUACUAUCAUGAUGAAUAGGAAAACAAUAGUCCUACUACUCCAAUAACAAGAAUAAAGCUAUUCGGCUAAGAUCCACAUGUACACAUCAUCUCCGAAAAUAAUACUCCAAGUAACCGAACAUCAACUAGCAUCAUGAAAAUAAGCAUACUAACCACUAAUAAUCCAAAGGCAGCAUGAUAUCCAAAGUAAUACUCCAAAAUAAUACCAGAUACCAUCAUGAGGAAUAAACAUAAUAGCCACUAAGAAUCCAAAGGCACAUGUCAUCCACAUAAUCAUCAAAAUAUUAAUCCUAGAACUCCAAGCAAUAUCAUGGCAAUAUCAAGAUCAAACAAUACUCUGAGAAAUGCCAUGAACAAAUCAUACAUAACUAACACAAUAUUUUAAACAAGUUCAAAUGAAUAAACCAUGUCACUGCAUUGCAACCAUGCAAAUGGAGGGUGUGGCUUGCCUGGGGUGGAAGAAAUCACCGGGACAAAGUGCGAGAAACUCGCAGAAAGGAUCGCCGGAAAACGUACUCCCUCGGAGGGGGCUGAAUAAGGGCAGGGGCAAAAUGGUCAUUUUCAAAAUGUAAAAACAUGGCGAAAAUGAUUCCAUCAGAACGGGCUCGACGAAACAAAGAAGUGGGCUUUGGAUUCACCACAAACGGAGUUGCGAGCAAAAAGUUAUGAUAGUUUUUCUGCUAGGGACCUCUUUGUAAAGAAAAACUUCACAAUCUGGGCCUGGACAGAAAAACAGAAAGCGCAAUCAGCGAAAUACGCUUUCACUGAAUUGAAAACGCAUUCGGGGCUGAAGACGAAUGGGAACGCGUUUUCCAGAGGCGAAAACGUAUUCACAGAAAUACGUUUUCACUUAAAACACGCGGGCCCGGGGCUGGUCAGAGAUGUGAGUCUUACGGGUGGGGCCGGCCACUUAUCCACGUCAUCGCUGGGCUGGUUCAACGCAGAGUGGCUGACGUGUGGGUCCCACGCGCGGGGUGUCAUCAUCUUCAUCUCCCUCGCGCUCGCCCGUGGACUAGAGGGAGGCCGCCGGCGUCGACGCUCGUCCGGGCGGCUCGGGUCGACUCAGGCGAUGCCCCGACCACCGGAAUGACCAGCGCGGGGAGGCACAUCCGCAUGGGCUCUUCAGGCGCGUCGGCGAGAGCUGGACGAAGCAGGGCCUCAGCCACGGCGGACAAGAGCUUCGGGCACCGUCGAACUUGAGGCUACGGGGCUCUAGAAGAGGAGGGGAACCGCGAGGGAGCUACGCCAUGGUCUGGUAGGUGCUCCGGUGGAGGAGGAAGUGGGAGAGGGGCUCGGCUCCGGGCGAAUUUAGGAUGAGGAGGCCCACGGCCAUGGCGGCAAUGGUGGAGCAGGAGUGCUCCAGAGGCUCGGGCGGAUGGACGGGGAGGUGUAGUGGAGCGAGUGGAGGCUGGUGAGGUGCUCGGGAGGGCUCGGGGAUGGCUAUUUAUAGCCGGGCGAGGGAGAUGGGCUCGGGUGCCGCCGGGCACGUCCGGCCGAGGCUCUGGCGACGGCCAGCGAGCACGGGAGGGCGCGGGAACAUGACGAGCUAUUGAUUCAGAGCUCACGGAGGGGUAGGCGACACCGGAGAGCAGAGGAAGAGGCCGAGCACCAUUAAAACAUGUCGGGGCACUGUGCUCCCGUGGGCGUUCGGCGGCGAGCGUCGGUGAGGAAGCUGCCGGAGGGGGAGAGGGGUCCAGGGGGACGGCGACAAUGCAGGCUAGCUGUUGGACACGCUCACGCGCGCGAAGACGACGAGAGGAGGAGGGGCCGAAGCACAAACAACCACUGGGCGCGGCCACUGCACACAGAGCGCGUGCAUAGUGAUGCCAUUAACGCGGUCACCGCGUGCACUGGCAUCUACCGGGGGAGAGAGGCUUUAAAAUUUUGUCUAGUGGUAAGUUCAUCCAGUGUAGGUUUCAACUCCGGUGGUAGCUCGGUUAAAAGUGCUAUGGUUAACUGGUAAGAACCCUCUGAAGUUUACUGCAGUAAACUUGGGUGAGCACUAGUGAUCAACAGGAAGGGUUUUGGAUCCAAUGGAGUUGUCUGCGAGGUUGAGGUAAAGAAGUACUUACAUCCUGGUAACUAUGGGGGGGGGGUUUGGAUCAAGAUGUAACAGAGUUGCUUUGCAACUGCCAAAUAUGGUCUAGAAUCAAGAUUUGGAUGAUGCACUCUGAUGAAGCAUCAACUUGAGCUCAAAUUGGGCAAUGCAGAGUCAUUUGGUCCUAUGAAGAUGCUCAAAAAGUCUUAUACCAAUUGGCCAAGCCAAACUGGUACUUGCUUCACAGACAUCUCCUGUGGACAGAAACUUGCGAAAAUUCUAGAGGAAUAAUGGCUUGAUGAACCAUGCCCAAAAUGGGUGGAGGUAGGUUAUAUGGAUAAUAGAAGGUCUAGAAAAAGUGGCAGCCAUAAUGGAGCAAGAUAAAAUAUACUUGCUUCACAAACUGAAAUUUUGGGCAGAAUCAAAGAAUUGAAGAUGAGCUCACAUGGAGGCAUGAUAUGAGCUCUACUUUUGUGGAGGGCUAUGAUAUGAUGAUAUGAGAGAUCAUGCAAAAUGGGAACACAUUUGGAUAUGCCUAGCUUGCACCUCCUUCACAAAGCUUCUUUCUAGAUAGAAACUUUGGAAAAUCGUAAUUAAAUAAUUACUAGGCAAAUGAGGUUGCAUUUUGGCAUGUGGCAAUGAUAUGGACAGGAAAAGGUGUAGAAGGAGUUUUAGGUCAAUUGGGAAAAGGAAAAUAGCACUUGCUUCACAAUGUGCCAUUUAGGGCAGAAUAGGAAAUGAAUAAAUUUGAGCAAGAUGAUAAACAUGAAAAAUGAAAUAUUUUGCCAUAUUUGAGAAAGAUAUGACCCAAACAAUUUAUGAGAAUUAUUUGGGAAUUUUAGGAGUGAUGGAAAUAAAGGUUGCUUCACAACCUAGGGCAGACAGGGUUAUUCUUGUAAUAGAAAAAGGAAUAUUCCCUAGAAAAACAUUUUAGGGGUUGGUCAAGCAGUGAAGUGACAAGAUCUUGGCGGGGUUUUGAGAAUGAUGAGCCACUUGGGAAGGAAAAAGAGGAUGAUUUCCCAGGUGACAAGGCCACAGAACCACUCCAAAAAGAAAAACAAAGCAAAAACCAAUGUAUCAAAAAGAAAAAGAGAAGGGCCAAAAUUCAGGCUGUUACAAUUCUUACCCCCUUAAAGAAAUCUCGUCCUCGAGAUUUAGUUGCUCUGGGAACAAGUAUGACUUGAGGAUACCGUUUCCAACUCGGGCAUCCUCUUUCCUUUAUUUAUUGUUCCCCCAAGAAUUUCAGAUGAUCAACUUACCUUGCUCUGGGGUGGCUUUUCCCAAAUUUUGAUGGGUCUUUGCUCAUAUACCAAAUCCUUUUGCUGACGUUGAUUUUCUCAUAUCUGCGGUGAUGUCCGAUGGAUCUGAUCAUAACAUUCCUUUUGCUCAUGAAAACCUUUUUAUUUUUGUCAUGGGGUUGCUGCAAGCCUUCUGGGUUCAAUAAAUGCUUAGAAUUAAUCAUGGCCAUCUUCUGACGGGAUCUGACAGCCCAUAGGUGCACUGAUUUAUCUUGAUUUAUUUCCUUUGGCUUGAGCAUGUGGCAUACACCGGAGAUUUGACUGCCUUCUGUCAUGAGCAAUAUAACGGUGCAUGGAGUUAUAGCUAUGUCAUACCUCAAAUAUUUAUAUCUUGAGACUUUGCCCGACAGGGGCUGACGGACAAAUGCUUUUCCUGACAGACUGACCGUGUACUUGAUUCCGUCGGUGAGUAUACCGGGUCUGAGCUGAUUAUUCGGCUUUUGACUUUCUCAUUUUGUCGGUAUACCCAUUUUUGAUAAUACGCUGUGAUAUGUUUUAACUUGCCGCUGAGGUCAAACUGUUGAGGUUGCAAAGGAAUCUUGGAUCUGACAGAACAGACUUGGAUUUUCCGCACUAACCAUAUCAAGCGGUCAGCGAGAUAUGAAAAUCCUUGUAAAUAGAGUAGGCCGCUGAAGGUGUAUGUCAUUGUGGAUCCAUAUGGAAUUAUGGCCUCCAACUGACUUGGUGUAUCCAGACCGUGAUGGUCGUGCAAAAUACAUCAUACAUUUGUUGUCAGUCUCACCCUUUAACGGUCAUGAUUUUCUUUGUCAGGAUACCUUACUGAAAUAACUUGGCCACACAUGUCCUUGAUUCUUCGUAUGACCAUGACUGUGGCUAGUGCAAUAUUGUUGGCAUUAUUCCUUCUGCAUAUUUUCUGACAUGUGUUCGCACAUAUAUGACAUAUACUCGGGGUUUGUAGCUGUACGGAGCUCAUUGCUUUCUUAGGUAUAUCUACUGGAUUAGUGUCGUAUCCCGUAUAAGUGACCGAUCUGACCCGGGAUACCUGCGUACCAUAUGUAUAAUAAUCAUAUGCAACUGAAUACCCUAUUAUUGCGGCAGGCAUAUGUUUUGACUGAAUUGUUCCUCUGACAAAAUUAUUGCGAAUCUGAUCCUUGAGAUGUACUGCCAUAUACUGCCAACUCAUCAUAUAAUCUCUGAGAAUCGUGCAUAGUGUGGUACUAACGCGGACUGGGUGGCUUACGAGGGAAGCCAUCCAAGUAGCUUGCUGAGGAAGACUCUUAGAUUCUACUCGAGGCUUUUGUCUUGGUAGCGUGCAGUAGAAAUCUCGAUAGCCUACACCCGAAGCUUGGUGGGAUUAUUGUGCUGGAGAAACUUGAGUUCCAUACUUGAGAAGCUUCUCCUCGGGUUUGCUUGUUGAGAAAAAUUCAUUUCCGUCGGUCAGAAGCUUUUACCGAGGUAUCUUGUUGAGAAAGACCGGGUACCUUGGGCUGGAAAUAGUUCACAUAUCAUGCUGAGGAAAAAUUGAGGAGGCUUGCCUCAUAAAUUUCUUCCGAUAGCGUGUGGAAUAAUGCUGGGUUUCUUAUAUCCAAAACUUCAUACUGAUACGCAGACUGAAAUCCAUGCACACGUCCAUAAUAUUUUGCGUCUGAUCAUUUGCAUGAGAAAAUUUGUUUGACUGUCUUCCGUGAGCAUAUCACAUCCUGACUUUCUCUUGGAGUAUAACAUAUUUCAAGUAUCAUUUAUUGCUGAGCCAAAACCUUGCCUAUGAUUCAUACCUUUGACAGAAAAAUAUACCGUUGGUCUUGCAUCUGACUUGUCUUCCUGCUGGCUGGAUCAUUACCGCUGUAGAAUUGAUGCGGAUAAUCAAUCCAAGACACAAUUGGCAUUCUGAGCAGAUAUUCCUUAUAUCAUGCGGUUGACUGAGAAGGCCAUAAUGUUUAGCUGAGCUUCUUCCAAAUAUUGGAAAUACUUAUUACUUCUUCGAGUCCGGUGUCAGUUGAUGAGCAACUCUUUAUAGGGGAAAAAUAAUGUAACACCGGGGCCCAAAAGAAAGAAGCAAAAGAAAACUCAACUAAACAAAAGCACACAACAACAAUCAAUUCACACACAAUCAAUGUCACAUUUUACUGCUAGUCACACAAUAUGCAUGCCUACUUAAGCACACAAAUCUCGCGGGAUCUCCGGUUCUACGAUCUAGCAUGCUGCGACGGUGUGCACGAGGAUGAAUAAAUGUGUGGAAGAAUUGGUGUAAACAGCGCUACACCAAGUGCUAGCUUAGCCAGGUAGCAGCCUGGACUAGCUCGGAGGUGAGGACGCACUCGGUAAUCAUGUAGCGGGACACGAAGGUCGCAACCACAUUAUUAUCAAGCGGACGGAAAAAGAUCCGUACUCGUCCAAGAAAUAAGAUAGCGGGGAAAAACUGAGGCUGCUGACAUUGCCCUUUCUUGAUAACUACGAUCAAUAAGGGUUGCCAAAAUGACAAGAAAAAGGACGAUCUGUGAUAGAAGCAUGUCUACCACCGAAACAAAAGGUGGGGCUGAAGGAAAUAAUUCGGCGCGAUACCUGAGCACCAUUUUUGCCAACAGUGUCAGGAUCACUUGGCAUCACUCUGCUGGGAUAGGAAUGACGCCAGACACCGAAGAAUGAGCAAGAAAAGAAAUCUGGAGAAAUGCAAAGGCUGAGCUGUAGUGGAUCCGGACCGAUGCCAUCUACACUCACCAGAUUAAACCGUUAGUAAAAGAAAUAAGGCUACAUGCAUGCUAUGCAACAAACAAAAGCAGCAACCAAAUGCGACAAACAAGACCACCUCUAAACUACCGAUUUCUACCGGUUUCUACCGCUCGCGCUGACUAGGGCGUCCUACAGCCAGACCUGCUCUGAUACCAAGCCUGUGGCACCCCGGCUCAGAAAAACCGGAACGCCCCGUAUUCCAGCCCAGAGAUCGAGGAGAAGUCUCUGGAAUACGGCACUGCUUGACAUAGAACAAAUCAGCUGUUAUUACAAGAAUAAUAAUUACACGGGUGUGAUGUUACAAUGAUCACAUCAGCAUGGCGACACUACGCCUGCGAUACUACACUUGCUCUAUGCUAGCAGCGAAACAACUCAUAGCAGCGGAAUACUUCUAGCAGCGGAACAACGACGAAGGUGGUGAACUCCACUCCGCAGGGACUCUGGCUGGGACACGGUCUAGCUCGCACGCACGGCAACCUCGACAAGCAAUCAAGCAAUCAUGGCAUCACCUGCAAUCUGGCAUGACACGCCAGGUCAGUACAUUGAAUGUACUUGCAAGCUCACAACAACCAUAAACAUCAAGGCAAGAAAAUAACAUAGCAUUAACAGGUUAAUUAAUUAACAACUACCAUGAUGAAGCAACUACUAAGCAUGAGAUGAAACUAAUAAAAUGCUGAUAAAUCACCAUCUCAGAUCUCCAUAACCAUAUAUCUCUUGGCUAACCGGCCAAGCAAUAUACCAUCUCGAUCAACUCAUGAUCAAAACCACACGGUGAUCUUUCCGGCGAUCACUACCAUGACCAACACUUGGUCUCAAACUAUGAUCUUUCCGGCGAUCACAACCAUGACAAACACUUGGUCUCCAACAUCAUCAUCAACAUCCUGCCAAACUGUUACUGCUCACAAUAUAUCAUCAUAUAAAUCACCUAUAAGUCAUUCCGUCAUGUGAGUGUUGAUCAAACGGUGGGACCUAGUACGAACCCAUGCCCAUGACCGAGGACACGACUAUCGAUAGAUUAAUACACUCUGCAGAGGUAGCACAUUGUACCCACACCACAGAACCCAUGGCCUCGUACUCCCAU
rnacentral:lncRNA from 1 species